rnacentral:lncRNA from 1 species
CUCUUGAGAUGCAUGCAAGUGGCUCUUCUAUGCGUGCAAGAGAAGCCUGGGGACAGGCCAUCCAUGUUGGAAGUCUAUUCAAUGCUCAAGAAUGAAUCUUCAGCCGUGAACUUCCCCAAGAAGCCUGCAUUUUCAAUUAACAAGGAUGAAGAUGAGGAUGGCAAGUGCUUGCUUAAGGAAGCAGUUCAUUCAGUCAAUGAUGCAUCAAUUUCUGAAUUGUUUCCUCGCUGAUUGUACAUUGCAUGUAUCCAGUGUUGUGAAUACUAAUACCAUAAAGAGAUUAUUUUGUUAACUUAUUUGGUUGCCUAGUAAUUCGUAUGUGCCAGUGGCAUUUUUUUUCCCCAAUUAAUUGUAAUAUUUUUUGACAUCUGUGUAUAUAUAUAUUUUUAAUCAUUUAGAGGCAGUUCAAGUUAGAAAUGAUCGAUACCUAAUCCGGUUCAAUUCCACCUGGGUACUGAGAAUCGGACCAGAGGAAUUGGUUUCUAGUUUCUAGAAUUGGGGACUGGACUGACCAGUCCGGUUCAGUUCCUGGAUGGUCUGAAGAAACUGGUCGCCUGCUCUGUUUAUUCCCAGCCUUUGCUUGAUCAUACCAUGAACUCAAGGCGUCGUUCUCACAAUCGGCUUGAAAAGACUUGAGAGUCAUGAGCAAAUCAGACCCCAAACCACACAAAUCCGGCAAUGUUCUUUCUUCCAUCUUAAUAUAGGUUUAAGUGAUGGGACGAUUCGGAGACUUUUGCCUACACAGCACACACCUAGACCUAGAAUCUAGCAAGUCUCGUGAAAAUGAACGGCGAGACACGGGAAAUGUAAUACGAAAAAAGGGCAAAAUACAGAUCAUUACCUUGAUGAGAAUCGAGAUGGAAGAAACAGAGCAAGAGAGGAGGCGAGAGUUGAGAUGAUACCGCGAGAAGGUGGCGUCAAGCUUGAGCAAAAGGGAUGCGACUAAGGCGAGAGAAGGCGACGCCGCGCCGCCAUUUGAGAGGGAAGGACUGAAGAACGAGGCAUCUCGUAAGCUGCGUGAGC